rnacentral:rRNA from 1 species
UACGGGGGGGGCAAGCGUUGUUCGGAAUUACUGGGCGUAAAGGGUUCGUAGGUGGCUUGCUAAGUCAGACGUGAAAUCCCUCGGCUCAACCGGGGAACUGCGUCUGAGACUGGUAAGCUUGAGUGCAGGAGAGGAACGCGGAAUUCCAGGUGUAGCGGUGAAAUGCGUAGAUAUCUGGAGGAACACCGGUGGCGAAGGCGGCAUCCUGGACCGACACUGACGCUGAGGAGCGAAAGCCAGGGGAGCAAACGGG